UUCGGCUAAGCCAUGCAAGUCUCGGGUUAAACCGGGGCGAAAAGCUCAGUAACACGUAGCUAACCUGCCCUUGGGUCUGGAAAUAAUCUCGGGAAACUGAGGCUAACGCUAAGAUAGAUAUGGUAUGCUGGAAUGCUUCCAUAUUGAAUCCAAGGAUGGGGCUGCGGCCGAUUAGGUUGUUGCCAGAGUAAAAACCCUUUUGCGGGGCUGGCUUAACCCGCGAGAGGUUGCAAUCCUGACAAGCCUAUAAUCGGUACGGGCCUUGAGAGAGGAAGCCCGGAGAUGGAUUCUGAGACAAGAAUCCAGGUCCUACGGGACGCAGCAGGCGCGGAAAUUCCGCAAUGCACGCAAGUGUGACGGAGGAAUUCAGAGUGCUUUCUCGUUUUGAGGAAGCUUUUGCCAAGUCCAAAAUUUGACCGAAGGCGACUUGUCGCCUUCCUUCAGUUGGAGAGCUUGGCGAAUAAGUGGUGGGUAAGACAGGUGCCAGCCGCCGCGGUAAUACCUGCGCCACGAGUGGUAAUCACGCUUAUUGGGCUUAAAGCGUUCGUAGCCGGCUUGGAAAGUUUCUAAUGAAAUCCUGCAGCUGACUGCAGGGCUUGUUAGAAAUACUUCCAGGCUUGGAACCGGGAGAGGUCGAGGGUAUUAUUGGGGUAGGGGUAAAAUCCUAUAAUCCCAAUAAGACCACCUGUGGCGAAGGCGCUCGACUAGAACGGAUUCGACGGUGAGGGACGAAAGCUGGGGGAGCAAAGCGGAUUAGAUACCCGCGUAGUCCCAGCUGUAAACGAUACCCACUAGACAUUGGAUGUCUUACGGGGGCAUCCAGAGUCGUAGGGAAACCAUUAAGUGGGUCGCCUGGGGAGUACGGUCGCAAGGCUGAAACUUAAGGGAAUUGGCGGGGGAGCACACAAGGGGUGGAGGCUGCGGUUUAAUUCGACUCAACGCGAGGAACCUUACCAGGGGCGACAGCAGAAUGAAGGUCAGGUUCAUGACCUUACCAGACACGCUGAGCGGUGCUGCAUGGCCGUCGUCAGUUCGUGCCGUGAAAGCCUUUUCGAAAGAAAGGGUUUCGGCAAAGGUGUCACGUUAAGUCGUGUAACGAACAAGACCCGUGCCCUAUGUUACGACGGGGCCAAUUUGGCUUCGGUACUCAUAGGGGACCGCUGCUGAUAAAGCAGAGGAAGGUGCGGUCGACGGCAGGUCAGUAUGGUCCUAAUCCUCUGGGUUACACGCGGCCUACAAUGGUUGGUACAAUGGGAUGCCACUCCGAAAGGAGGAGCCAAACCCCAAAACCAAUCUUGGUCCAGAUCGAGGGUUGCAACUCACCCUCGUGAAGACGAAAUCCCUAGUAGUCGCUGGUCAUCAAGUACAGCUUUUCAAUGAGAAGCUGCACGUGAAGUCUAGCGGCGAAUAAGUUCCUGCUCCUUGCACACACCGCCCGUC
rnacentral:rRNA from 1 species